rnacentral:rRNA from 1 species
UACGGAGGGGGCUAGCGUUAUUCGGAAUUAUUGGGCGUAAAGAGCGCGCAGGCGGUCGUUCAAGUCGCGAGUGAAAGCCCCCGGCUCAACUGGGGAGGGUCACGCGAUACUGAUCGACUCGAAGGCAGGAGAGGGUAGUGGAAUUCCCGGUGUAGUGGUGAAAUGCGUAGAUAUCGGGAGGAACACCAGUGGCGAAGGCGACUACCUGGCCUGUUUCUUGACGCUGAGGCGCGAAAGCUAGGGGAGCAAACGGG